GGUAACCUUUUGGAGCCAGCCGCCUAAGGUGGGACAGAUGAUUGGGGUGAAGUCGUAACAAGGUAGCCGUAUCGGAAGGUGCGGCUGGAUCACCUCCUUU
rnacentral:rRNA from 1 species